rnacentral:rRNA from 3 species
UCGUAACAAGGUUUCCGUAGGUGAACCUGCGGAAGGAUCAUUAA